rnacentral:rRNA from 1 species
UACGGAGGGUGCAAGCGUUAUCCGGAUUUACUGGGUUUAAAGGGUGCGUAGGUGGGUUGGUAAGUCAGUGGUGAAAUACUUUCGCUUAACGAAGGAACUGCCAUUGAUACUACCAGUCUUGAAUGUAGUGGAGGUAGGCGGAAUGCGUCAUGUAGCGGUGAAAUGCUUAGAUAUGACGCAGAACACCAAUUGCGAAGGCAGCUUGCUACACUACUAUUGACACUGAGGCACGAAAAGCGUGGGGGAUCAAACAGG